GGUCCGAACCCACGAGCGUUGAAAAGCUCGGGGAUGACUUGUGGGUAGCGGUGAAAUUCCAAUCGAGCCCGGAGAUAGCUGGUUCUCCCCGAAAUAGCUUUAGGGCUAGCCUCAAGGUGAGAGAUACGGAGGUAGAGCACUGAAUGUCCUAGGGGGUAUUGCACCUACCGAAGACUAUCAAACUCCGAAUGCCGUCAUCUUAUACUUGGGAGUCAGACUGUGGGUGAUAAGAUUCAUAGUCGAAAGGGCAACAGCCCAGAUCGUCAGCUAAGGUCCCUAAAUGUAAGUUAAGUGGUAAAGGAUGUGGGAUUGCACAGACAACCAGGAUGUUGGCUUAGAAGCAGCCACUCAUUCAAAGAGUGCGUAAUAGCUCACUGGUCGAGUGAUCCUGCGCCGAAGAUUUCCGGGGCUAAAACUUACUACCGAAGCUACGGCAUCAGUAAUGAUGGGUAGGGGAGCUUCCCAUACGGGUUGAAGCAUGACCGUAAGGACAUGUGGACAGUAUGGGAGUGAGAAUGUUGGCAUGAGUAGCGAGAUGUGGGUGAGAAUCCCACAGGCCGUAAACCCAAGG
rnacentral:rRNA from 1 species